ensembl:processed_transcript RIKEN cDNA E130307A14 gene
CAGACCUCAAGAAAACACAAGAUGCUACAUACAUGUGCAACCCUAAAACUAGUGCUCUGAAUCAGGAGGAACACAUGAGUCCAAACGAAGAAACAAGAGUGUGGAAUACAUCAGUUAAAAUCUCAAGAAACCCUGAGGCAGAGGAUUAAGAGAUGCUAAAAAGAAGUCUGUGUGCUUAGCCUGCUCCGAACAGGAACACAGCUCUCAAAUGAAUGCAUGUGCAGUGUGUGUGCAGUAACCAGCAGCCAGACGUAUGGACAGGGCAUGGUCCUUUUCUAACUCCAUGUGUAAUAAUUGCAGGACUCCCUUCCCAGACAAGACUGCUCACUCCUACAGAAAAUGACCUUGUUUUUGAGAGCUGCUGCUAAUUUACAGUGAGGCACUAGGUUUCUAUCCAGUGCACAUGAGCAACCAAUCCAUCUACCCAGGGCACGCCACUGAUGAGCAGCAUCGUUUAGACGGGAAGAAGUAUGGGUGGUGUUUGCUGUGUGUUAAGGAAAAUCCAGUGGUAAGCAGUUUGGGAGCAUUGCUUCUGAGCUUAGGUCACUGAAAAGGGGAAAGGUACAUUGCACUAUGUACAUGAAAUAUAGCUGAG